rnacentral:rRNA from 1 species
UACGUAGGGGGCUAGCGUUAUCCGGAUUUACUGGGCGUAAAGGGUGCGUAGGUGGUUUCUUAAGUCAGAUGUGAAAGGCUACGGCUCAACCGUAGUAAGCCUUUGAAACUGGGAAACUUGAGUGCAGGAGAGGAGAGUGGAAUUCCUAGUGUAGCGGUGAAAUGCGUAGAUAUUAGGAGGAACACCAGUUGCGAAGGCGGCUCUCUGGACUGUAACUGACACUGAGGCACGAAAGCGUGGGGAGCAAAUAGGAUUAGAUACCCUGGUAGUCCCUGA